AAUUUUGUACAAUGGGGCAACCCCUAUUCCAGCCUCCCGCCUGGUUGAUGAAGGCCCUCCGGUUGUUAAGUACUUUUGGCCGGAAAGAAAAGGUAACCCCUAAUCCCGAGUACCUCCUACGGUCAUUGCAUAAUAAGCCCCGGCUAACCUCGUUCCAGCAGCCGCGGUAAUACGUAGGGUGCAAGCGUUAAUCGGAAUUACUGGGCGUAAAGCGUGUGUAGGCGGUUCGGAAAGAAAGAUGUGAAAUCCCAGGGCUCAACCUUGGAACUGCAUUUUUAACUGCCGAGCUAGAGUAUGUCAGAGGGGGGUAGAAUUCCACGUGUAGCAGUGAAAUGCGUAGAUAUGUGGAGGAAUACCGAUGGCGAAGGCAGCCCCCUGGGAUAAUACUGACGCUCAGACACGAAAGCGUGGGGAGCAAACAG
rnacentral:rRNA from 1 species